rnacentral:rRNA from 1 species
GAAUAUUGGGCAAUGGGCGAAAGCCUGACCCAGCCACGCCGCGUGUGUGAUGAAGGCCUUCGGGUCGUAAAGCACUGUGGGGAGAGACGAACCUGUACAGGAAGAAAUGCCUGUGCACUGACGGUACCUUCUUAGCAAGCACCGGCUAACUCUGUGCCAGCAGCCGCGGUAAUACAGAGGGUGCAAACGUUGCUCGGAUUUACUGGGCGUAAAGCGCGUGUAGGCGGACUCGCAAGUCGGUUGUGAAAUCCCUGGGCUUAACCUACGAACUGCAUCCGAAACUGCGUGUCUUGAGUAAUGGAGAGGGUGGCGGAAUUCCCGGUGUAAAGGUGAAAUUCGUAGAGAUCGGGAGGAACAUCAUUGGCGAAGGCGGCCACCUGGACAUUUACUGACGCUGAGACGCGAAAGCGUGGGGAGCAAACAGGAUUAGAUACCCUGGUAGUCCACGCCGUAAACGAUGAGAACUAUGUGCAGCGGAUAUUGACCUCUGCUGUGCCGAAGCUAACGCGUUAAGUUCUCCGCCUGGGGAGUACGGCCGCAAGGCUAAAACUCAAAGGAAUUGACG